rfam:Ancylostoma ceylanicum strain HY135 Acey_s0078_scaf, whole genome shotgun sequence.
AUCUCUGGCUCUUUUGCGUUUAACCGAGAAAAUCUUUCGCCUUUUACUAAAGAAUUCCGUGCAAAGGUUCGUUUUAUGAGUAUCAAACAAUUUUUGGAAUCCCCUGGAAAGAGCGGGGU